rnacentral:rRNA from 1 species
UGAUGUGAAAGCCCACGGCUCAACCGUGGAGGGUCAUUGGAAACUGGGGGGACUUGAGUGCAGAAGAGGAAAGUGGAAUUCCAAGUGUAGCGGUGAAAUGCGUAGAGAUUUGGAGGAACACCAGUGGGGAAGGCGACUUUCUGGUCUGUAACUGACGCUGAGGCGCGAAAGCGUGGGGGAGCAAACAGGAUUAGAUACCCUGGUAGUCCACGCCGUAAACGAUGAGUGCUAAGUGUUAGGGGGUUUCCGCCCCUUAGUGCUGCAGCUAACGCAUUAAGCACUCCGCCUGGGGAGUACGGUCGCAAGACUGAAACUCAAAGGAAUUGACGGGGGCCCGCACAAGCGGUGGAGCAUGUGGUUUAAUUCGAAGCAACGCGAAGAACCUUACCAGGUCUUGACAUCCCGUUGACCACUGUAGAGAUAUGGUUUUCCCUUCGGGGACAACGGUGACAGGUGGUGCAUGGUUGUCGUCAGCUCGUGUCGUGAGAUGUUGGGUUAAGUCCCGCAACGAGCGCAACCCUUGAUCUUAGUUGCCAUCAUUUAGUUGGGCACUCUAAGGUGACUGCCGGUGACAAACCGGAGGAAGGUGGGGAUGACGUCAAAUCAUCAUGCCCCUUAUGACCUGGGCUACACACGUGCUACAAUGGACGAUACAAACGGUUGCCAACUCGCGAGAGGGAGCUAAUCCGAUAAAGUCGUUCUCAGUUCGGAUUGUAGGCUGCAACUCGCCUACAUGAAGCCGGAAUCGCUAGUAAUCCCGGAUCAUCAUGCCGCGGUGAAUACGUUCCCGGGCCUGCCCCCCCCC